rnacentral:rRNA from 1 species
AACGAACGCUGGCGGCAGGCUUAACACAUGCAAGUCGAGCGCCCCGCAUGGGGAGCGGCAGACGGGUGAGUAACGCGUGGGAAUCUACCCAUCUCUACGGAAUAACGCAUGGAAACGUGUGCUAAUACCGUAUACGUCCUUCGGGAGAAAGAUUUAUCGGAGAUGGAUGAGCCCGCGUUGGAUUAGCUAGUUGGUGGGGUAAAGGCCUACCAAGGCGACGAUCCAUAGCUGGUCUGAGGGGAUGAUCAGCCACACUGGGACUGAGACACGGCCCAGACUCCUACGGGAGGCAGCAGUGGGGAAUAUUGGACAAUGGGCGCAAGCCUGAUCCAGCCAUGCCGCGUGAGUGAUGAAGGCCCUAGGGUUGUAAAGCUCUUUCACCGGUGAAGAUAAUGACGGUAACCGGAGAAGAAGCCCCGGCUAACUUCGUGCCAGCCGCCGCAGUAAUAC